rnacentral:rRNA from 1 species
GUCGAGAAUCUUUCACAAUGGGGGCAACCCUGAUGGAGCGACGCCGCGUGGAGGAUAAGGUCUUCGGAUUGUAAACUCCUGUCAUGCGUGAACAAGGUUGCUUGGUUAAUACCUGGGCAAAUUGAUGGUAACGCAAGAGGAAGAGACGGCUAACUCUGUGCCAGCAGCCGCGGUAAUACAGAGGUCUCAAGCGUUGUUCGGAAUCACUGGGCGUAAAGGGUGCGUAGGUGGCGUGGUAAGUCAGAUGUGAAAGCACGGGGCUCAACCUCGGAACUGCAUCCGAUACUGCCAUGCUAGAGUACUGGAGAGGUGACUAGAAUUCUCGGUGUAGCAGUGAAAUGCGUAGAUAUCGAGAGGAAUACCAAAGGCGUAGGCAGGUCACUGGACAGUUACUGACACUGAGGCACGAAGGCCAGGGGAGCGAACGGGAUUAGAAACCCUUGUAGUCC